AUGGGGGGCUGCAAGGGGAAGCAUAAGGAGCUGAAGAGGAGCCAGUGUGGGAAUGGCAGCUGCUGCUGGCUGGGCUACAAGUCCUUCUGCCGAGUGAACUGCGGGAGGCCCGAGGCAGACUUCAACUCAGUGGUGCAUGGCAAUGACUGGUGGGUGGGCUCCGUGGUGCGCUACAGCUGCCGGCCCGGCUUCAUGCUGCUGGGGGACCCGGCCAGCGCCUGCCAGUCUGACGGCCGCUGGACGCCCAAGCCCACCUGUCUCCGUGAGUACCAUGGGGUGGGAUGGGUAUUGCUAUUCCAGCAGCCCACCGUGGGGAAAAAAGGCUGGUGGAUACAUCGGGGGUUGUGCUCCAGUCCUGCUCUUGCAGGGAUCUGCCUGCGAGGCCGGAUCGAGAUCAGCGAGCGGGACAUCAGCGGGAGCUGCUCGUCGUCCUGCAGCACCCAGAGCCACCUGGGAGCCUCCCUGCACCAAGGCUGCAUCAAGAUCUCCUCCUGCAGCACCAAACGCUCGGGCUGGGCGCGCUGGUUCCUGCGCUGCGACGUCUGCGAGUGCGACUGCCACGUGCCCUGCGGGGAGACCCGGUAGUGGCACCCACCUCUGAUUCUCCCGGUAGAGCUGAGCCUUCUGCACUGAGGUCUGCUGGCCACGCAUCUCCGGUGCUGGGCUCUUCCUUUCCAUAAUUUCCAUCCAUCCUGAAGCUGUCAUCUGGGAGAAGAGGUUUGGGAUUUGCUGCCUUCCUGCCUGGCCCCAUCACAUGGCAUGCAGGGAAUGCUGUGGGCAGCAGGAGCAGGGCAGCUGUAUUGAGGUCUUGGAGACCUCGGUGUCUCUUCCUGGCUGCUCCCUGGAGAAGGCUCACAUCCUCUUCUAGCAAGGAGGCAGCACUUUGCCAGUCCUGCAGGCUGCCAUUUCUCUCUGCCAGUUAUUUCCUGCCCCUGUGUGCACUCAGCAGGGCUGUCCUGCUGCUCCAUCUGUGCAGGCAGGGGGUGGGGGCUGCUGUGCAUGGUGCUUGCAGGCUGGGGCUGCUCCUUCCUGCAGUGUGUAAUUUGCUCUGACCCUCCCCCUCCCCUCCAUCCUCCCCAGGGACAUCUCUGGCUAGCUGAUGCCUUGUAGCCAGAACAGGUAAGGAGAUGCAAGGGGCUGUCCUAAGCACACAAGACCGCUCCUUGGACCUGGGUUCCUUGUGAUCCCAGCCCUGAGCCCUUCAUUCUGUCCCAUGUCCCCUCGUGUCCCACUGUCGUGAUGGUCUCUGGGUGCCACGUGCUCCCCGGGGACACCCUGGAUCCCUCUGAAGCAGCAAUGGAAGAACCAAAAUUGUGAUUCCCUGGGGAGGAAGAGGGGCAGGAGCAUGUGUAAUGGGAUCACCAGGGGAAACGGGCCCAACAGCAGCACCACCACCACUGUGGGUAAUUUACAGGAAAUGACACAAAUUUGCAGUUAUGCACGGAGGUUCUGCUGCCUGCUCCAUCCCCACAGCCCCACACAGAGGGCAGGGCCAGGACCGGCUCUCCCAGCUCCGGAUGUGAGUGUCCUGGGUCAGGAGGCAGGGUGCUGAAAUGGCCUUGGGAUGAGCCCAGCACCUCUUCUGCUCCACGAGGAACUGAUUGCAGGCCCUGGUGUGGGGCUGACUCUGAUAUUGCACUCUCCAGCACCUUCUGCCUGAAUGCCAUGCCUAAAGAGCUGGAUCUCUGCCCCCAGCUCUGUCCCAGCCCCGGUCCGGCUGUGGGAGGGGAAGGAUUUCCUUAGCUCACCAGAUGGGUAUUUUAAUUAAUACUGUUGUUAGUGCUGCUCAUUUCCAUAUGUCUUUCAUGUUUAAGUGCUGUGGUGGGUGAGAGGUGUGAGCGACUGCAAGGAGGGAGCCAGGUGGAGCACAGAGACACCAUGCAGGGGAGUGUGUGCUGGGGGCAAGCUGGCACCCUCCCACCAGGACCCGUGGGGGGGGAGGGGGCAGCUGUGCCCCCUGGCCUUUGAUGCUUGCUGUGAGCUUUCUGAGCAGUGCUCUGCCAUCCUUGCACCCUGUUUGUGCCCUGUGGUGGAGGCUGUUGGGUGCAAUGCAAUGCAAUGCAAUGCAAUGCAAAGGCAGCUCAGUGCGUGGCUAGGUGAGCCCUGGGAGUGGGCUAUGGGGUGAGGGGCAGUGGGCGUGGGCUGUCUGCUGUGUCAGAGGUGCAGCGGUGGGGACGGAAGAACGGGGGCUGCCAAAUCCCAAGCUUUGCAGCCGGGAGAUGCUCGGGGCCUUCUGCCUGACACGCAGAGCAGAGUGGGGAAAGGAAUAAAGCCGGUUCCUUUAAGAGGGUUUUUCGCCGCCUGGCAGCGCCGCCCGGGCAGCCAAUUCUCACCGUCCCGACACACGGCGGCAGCCGAGACAGCGCCGGCGGUGGGGGGCACCGACGGGUCCGGGGCACCAAUACGGGAGCGGAUAACGGCACGGAACCGGUCCUCCCACCUCGCCGCCCGCCCCGGCCCCAGCCCAGCCCAGCCCAGCCCUACAGAGGGAUGGGGAGCGCA
rnacentral:lncRNA from 1 species